AGCAACCAGAGGCAGGAAAGGAAAAAUGGGAAGGUUUUCUCAGAGUUAACUUUCUCUAACCUUGAAGCCGAAUCCAGGGGCAGGAGCAGGAGUCAACUCUGAGAAGACGUGAUAGAGCUUCAGCAACAUGGAGAGGAGAUAGCCGGUCUGGCUAGGAUGGAAGAAAUGUACAUGGAGAAGAAAGACAGAAGAACCAUCACUGAGCACUAAACUAAUCAGCCAUAAUGUGCAGAUUGACUGGCAAGCCUAUCACCACCUUGAUAACAGAUGACAUUAAAGAGAAAGUAUCAAUGUGAGGAUUAAAUGGGAUGAAAAAUAAAACAUCUGUCGGAGUGCCUGGAAUAUGAGCCUAGUAGAGCACCCAGCACACAGUAGGCUCUUAAUACAUGCUUGGGAUGAUUGAGGCAUUUUCUUCCACCAUAUUCCAUGAUCUUCUAGCCCUGGGGGUGCAGAGAGAUUACCUGGCCAAGAAGACUAGGGGUACACAAAUAUCCAAGAUUGGAAAGAAGAAAGAAAAUGACGACAGAAUUUUGCAGUCUACAAGGCAAACACUGCCAUUCAUGUAGUUAUGGAGUUCCUACUAUGUGCAGACAAUGGGAAACUUUACGAAGGAACCUCGACGUAGCCUGUUCCCAAUGCCCUCUGUGGAAUCAGCCAGGUCCAUGCCACAAGUAUGAAUUGUUUCCAGUGCGGCAGUCCUGGGAGUGCCUGAGCCACAAGCCAGUGUCCCCUACUCAGUUGUGCCCUGUGGGGACUGAAGCAGGACUAUAUUCUCACAGGCUCUCCUAAAAGCUGGGCUGCCAGCUUCUAGCUCUACUCCUUUCUCAAAGUGGCCCAGGCCAUCUCUCAGACCAAGGUGGAUGGAGCAGCAUCAGCCAUGGCUCAGGAAUGCAGCCGCCUACUUUCCUGUUAUCAGCAGGCAUUCCUGUGGUUACACUAUUCCUGCUUAGCUUAUCAAUGGCCCUUGGGAACACAGAGUCAGCACCCAAAGAGGGCCAGAACAGCCUGCUUGUUGGACGCCCAUCCACACCAUGAGGCUUUCCUGGAUGUAGAGGGAAGUUACUGUUCCUCGGGAAAACCCCUCUUCCCAGCUGGGUUUUAAAAAGCAGCAGGUUUAAGAGCUGACCAUAUCUGAAAGACUCUAGAAUAGCAGAGGAUUGAUUAAAGGGACACAGAGGUUCAUGUGAUGUAAUAAGAAAGAAAUAAAGGAAGCUUUAUCUGCCGCUCUUUCAACCUCAUCCACUCAACACUUACCCCGUGACAGACCCCAAUACUCUUAAUGAAUUCCCAAGGUUACGAAAGAACUUGGAAGAUCUUACAUUCCUACAUGGUGAUUACAGAGGCUCACAUUUUGCCAAGUCAUAUGCAGGUGGCUGAAAAAUGUGAUCUAACGUCCUUGAACACAUUUAUUACAAUCCAUCAUCUACAUGGCAACAGUCAGGGCCAUGCUCAUAAACCAGAACUGGUGCUAGAUCUGCACUAAAUGAUAUCAGCUGGUCAAUGUAUCAAUGAAGCUUCUCCUGCAAAAAAUGUCUCCCUUAUUUUGGUUUC
rnacentral:lncRNA from 1 species